rnacentral:rRNA from 1 species
GUGCCAGCAGCCGCGGUACUACCGGCAGCCCGAGUGAUGGCCGAUCUUAUUGGGCCUAAAGCGUCCGUAGCUGGCUGCGCAAGUCCGUCGGGAAAUCCACUCGCCCAACGAGUGGCCGUCCGGUGGAAACUCCACACCCUGGGACCGGAAGGCUCGAAGGGUACGUUCGGGGUAGGAGUGAAAUCCCAUAAUCCCGCACGGACCACCGAUGGCGAAAGCACUUCGAGAAAACGGAUCCGACAGUGAGGGACGAAAGCCAGGGUCUCCAACCGGAUUAGAAACCCCGGUAGUCC